CGUUAGGCUUGACCGGGGAGCUUGGCGUGCCCUUCACCCGCAAUCGUCAAUAGCGGGGGUGACAGCAGGGGGCGGCAGAGUUGAAGGUCCAAGCCCGCAUAGCAACUAUGAGAUCUUGUCCUGCAGAGUCGGAGUUUGUGUGUCGAACAGCCGGAGGGUCGUAUCGCGCACAUUCAUCGGGGGAACCGGGCCAGGUCCUGACGGGAGCAGCCUUACUCUGUGCUACUGACGUUUGCGGGGUCGCAGGGUUGAGAAACGAAGCGGUCAACUUGGGACGGAUAUGAUGUCCACCUCUGUGGCCUAACA
rnacentral:SRP_RNA from 1 species